rnacentral:rRNA from 1 species
GACGAACGCUGGCGGCGUGCUUAACACAUGCAAGUCGAACGGAAAGGCCCCUUUGGGGGUACUCGAGUGGCGAACGGGUGAGUAACACGUGAGUAACCUGCCCUUGACUUCGGGAUAACUUCAGGAAACUGGGGCUAAUACCGGAUAGGAAUCCUUGCUGCAUGGUGGGGGUUGGAAAGCUUCGGCGGUUUUGGAUGGACUCGCGGCUUAUCAGCUUGUUGGUAGGGUAGUGGCUUACCAAGGCUUUGACAGGUAGCCGGCCUGAGAGGGCGACCGGCCACAUUGGGACUGAGAUACGGCCCAGACUCCGACGGGAGGCAGCAGUGGGGAAUAUUGCACAAUGGGCGGAAGCCUGAUGCAGCAACGCCGCGUGCGGGAUGACGGCCUUCGGGUUGUAAACCGCUUUCAGCAGGGGCGAAGCUUGUGGUGACGGUACCUGCAGAAGAAGCACCGGCUAACUACGUG